rnacentral:lncRNA from 1 species
CUCCAAUAAUAAUUAUUAAUUGAACUCUAAAAUGUAACAAUAUUCGUAUAAAAUCUAGAUCCAAAAUUCUAAAACACCUAAAAACCCAAUACAUUUUCCCAAAAAAAAAAAAAAAACUAGCUAAGUAGUAUGUGAAACCACUCUAUCGGCCUCUGUAAUUUUCUUCUCAGCAAUCUUCGACUGAGCUAUGCCUUAAAUAUCGAUCCCGACCUAUAAAAAAAGGAGAUAAAGAUAGAUACCACAUUUUAGACAUUUGUACCAAUUAUAAUCACGAAGAAAAGCAAAGAAAAAUAAGUAAGAACCAUUGGCAAUAUAUGAACCUAAAAAAGAAAACCUAUAAAUCACAUCAUGGUUGCAAAGAUCAAGAGACACUUCCAUGCCUCAAGUUCCACAUCCCACAACUACAACUCUCUUUCCUCUAAAACUUUCACCAGAAUUAUAAUCACAGGCAUGGAUGCAAAACCAUCAAUUACACUUCUUUCGAAUAAACCAAGAAUAAAACUUGAACGUUAUCUUAACAUUGAUACAAAAUUUGACCUUGUUCUUACCAUUGAGAAUUGAACGAACAAAGGUCAAGGUUUUGUGAUGUAGAAUUUCCACAAAGGUUAAAAAAAAUUAGAGGCUGGCAUUCCACUCUUCUACAUUAUAAUGAAUAAAAAAAUUCAAAGAUGCAGUGAGUCAGUGACAUGGUCUCUAGGGUAGAAUGCAAAAGCAGUAUAUCUAACUCGAGCAUUUAACAUCAUGAUGGCAUCAAAACAAUCCCAAAAAAAAAAAAAAAAAGUAGUAACAAAAAGUAUGAAAUCUUUUCAAAAAGAACAACACAAAAAUAAACAACCAGUAUGUGACACUGUUAAAAUGUAUGACACACUGCUCCAAUAACCUAAUUAAACAAUGUCAAGGAUAACAAAUGUCAUGAAAAACAGCUAAAAAUUGACGCAUUCUAUGAUACCUAGUCAAAUUACUGUUAAUUUGCAUUGCUGAUUCAAUUUUUGAACUUCAACUUUCAAUCCAAGUCAAAUUAACGUUAAACCAAGGAGCUUAACUUGUUUUUAAAAACACCUCCUCCCAAUAAAGAAAAACGGAAUUUUUUUUUAAAAAGUUUUGUUGAAGACGAAUAAACUAAACAAACUAGCUCAAACAAAUUUAUUUACUACCACCCAAAAACUAUUAACUUAUAAAUAGAGCAGAAUUUUACGGGAGAUAUAAUGUUUAAACAUACAAAAAAAUAAAAAUAAAAAUUGCAAGAUGUAUAAAAAUACCAGUUUGUUGGAUUAAGCCCCC